rnacentral:rRNA from 1 species
GUACGGCGAGUGAGCGGCAACAGCUCAAAUUUGAAAUCUGGCCCCCCGGGGCCCGAGUUGUAAUUUGCAGAGGAUGCUUUUGGCGAGGCGCCUUCCGAGUUCCCUGGAACGGGACGCCACAGAGGGUGAGAGCCCCGUCUGGUUGGAUGCCGAGCCUCUGUAAAGCUCCUUCGACGAGUCGAGUAGUUUGGGAAUGCUGCUCUAAAUGGGAGGUAUAUGUCUUCUAAAGCUAAAUAUUGGCCAGAGACCGAUAGCGCACAAGUAGAGUGAUCGAAAGAUGAAAAGCACUUUGAAAAGAGGGUUAAAUAGUACGUGAAAUUGUUGAAAGGGAAGCGCUCAUGACCAGACUUGGGCCCGGUGAAUCAUCCAGCGUUCUCGCUGGUGCACUUUGCCGGGCUCAGGCCAGCAUCAGUUCGCCCCGGGGGAGAAAGGCUCUGGGAAUGUGGCUCCUCCGGGAGUGUUAUAGCCCUCUGCGCAAUGCCCUGGGGCGGACUGAGGUCCGCGCAUCUGCAAGGAUGCUGGCGUAAUGGUCAUCAGCGACCCGUCUUGAAACCACGGACC